rfam:Oryza brachyantha chromosome 7, whole genome shotgun sequence.
AAUAAGAUCAUUUUUCGUUUUUCCGUGUCCAACGUUUGUCCAUUCGUCUUAUUUUAAAAAAAAUUGCGAUUAAUAUUUUUGUUCUUACUAGAUGAUAAAAUAUGAACAUGAUAAAAUAUGAAUAGUACCUUAUGCGUGACUAAUUUUUUAAGUUUUUAUACAAUUUUUUUAAAUAAGACAAAUGGUCAAAUGUUGGACACGGAAAAAUGAAAAAUGAUCUUAUU